rnacentral:misc_RNA from 1 species
AAGUCGUAACAAGGUUUCCGUAGGUGAACCUGCGGAAGGAUCAUUAACACAAUACUUUCUAUUAUCAAUAACCCCAGAGCACUGUCGGACCCUUCUUCAGUGAGUGUCGGCUAGUUCAUGGUCUGGUAUUUCUAUGCGUUCUAGCUUGCUGUUAAGUUAGUCCCGUCAAAAUGACUCCCGCUGUUGCUUCGGCCGGUGCGAGUGCUUUGCCGGUCCUAACGGCUCAUCGAUGAAGGUGAAACGGCCUCAGCCAUGGCUGUGACCCUAUUUUUUUUUUAACCUCUUGAUUUUUGUACUGAUUUGGGCUGUUUGCGAUUGAGAGGAGCAAUCCUUUCUCCGACGGCUUGUGUGGAAUGCAUUGUCAUUCCUUCACUAACCAAAACACAACUCUUAACAGUGGAUAUCUCGGUUCUC